UUGGAGGGCAAGUCUGGUGCCAGCAGCCGCGGUNAUNCCNGNUCNNUAGCGUAUAUUAAAGUUGNUGCAGNUAAAAAGCUCGUAGUUGAAUUUCGGGAUCAAUAUUUCGGUCAUGCCGUUGGUAUGCACUGUUAUCAUUGAUUUCUCACCUUCUAAAGAACCGUAAUGCCAUUAAUUUGGUGUUACGGGGAAUUAGGACUGUUACCUUGAAAAAAUUAGAGUGUUUAAAGCAGGCUCACGCUUGAAUACAUUAGCAUGGAAUAAUGAAAUAGGACAUCCGAUUCUAUUUUGUUGGUUUCUAGGAUCGAUGUAAUGAUUAAUAGGGAUAGUUGGGGGCAUUAGUAUUCAAUUGUCAGAGGUGAAAUUCUUGGAUUUAUUGAAGACUAACUACUGCGAAAGCAUUUGCCAAGGAUGUUUUCAUUAAUCAAGAACGAAAGUUAGGGGAUCGAAGACGAUCAGAUACCGUCGUAGUCUUAACCAUAAACUAUGCCGACUAGGGAUCGGAUGAUGUUAAUUUUUUAAUGACUCAUUCGGCGCCUUNCGGGAAAC
rnacentral:rRNA from 1 species